GAGCUUGAACCUAAAGGACAAAGGCAUCUAACUGAUAAUUAGAAAGAAUGAGGUUCAAUUCCUCACAAUCUCU
rnacentral:tRNA from 1 species